GGGUUAUCAGUAGUUCAAUGAUCGAACAUCUGCUUUGCAUGCAAAAGGUCCCAGAUUCAAUUCCUGGCAUCUUCA